rnacentral:rRNA from 1 species
GAUGAACGCUGGCGGCGUGCCUAAUACAUGCAAGUCGAGCGAACAGAUGAGGAGCUUGCUCCUCUGACGUUAGCGGCGGACGGGUGAGUAACGCGUGGAUAACCUACCUAUAAGACUGGGAUAACUUCGGGAAACCGGAGCUAAUACCGGAUAAUAUAUUGAACCGCAUGGUUCAAUAGUGAAAGACGGUUUUGCUGUCACUUAUAGAUGGAUCCGCGCCGCAUUAGCUAGUUGGUAAGGUAACGGCUUACCAAGGCAACGAUGCGUAGCCGACCUGAGAGGGUGAUCGGCCACACUGGAACUGAGACACGGUCCAGACUCCUACGGGAGGCGGCAGUAGGGAAUCUUCCGCAAUGGGCGAAAGCCUGACGGAGCAACGCCGCGUGAGUGAUGAAGGUCUUCGGAUCGUAAAACUCUGUUAUUAGGGAAGAACAAAUGUGUAAGUAACUAUGCACGUCUUGACGGUACCUAAUCAGAAAGCCACGGCUAACUACGUGCCAGCAGCCGCGGUAAUACGUAGGGCGCGAGCGUUGUCCGGAAUUAUUGGGCGUAAAGGGCUUGUAGGCGGUUGGUCGCGUCUGCCGUGAAAUCCUCUGGCUUAACUGGGGGCGUGCGGUGGGUACGGGCUGACUUGAGUGCGGUAGGGGAGACUGGAACUCCUGGUGUAGCGGUGGAAUGCGCAGAUAUCAGGAAGAACACCGGUGGCGAAGGCGGGUCUCUGGGCCGUUACUGACGCUGAGGAGCGAAAGCGUGGGGAGCGAACAGGAUUAGAUACCCUGGUAGUCCACGCUGUAAACGUUGGGCACUAGGUGUGGGGGCCACCCGUGGUUUCUGCGCCGUAGCUAACGCUUUAAGUGCCCCGCCUGGGGAGUACGGCCGCAAGGCUAAAACUCAAAGGAAUUGACGGGGGCCCGCACAAGCGGCGGAGCAUGCGGAUUAAUUCGAUGCAACGCGAAGAACCUUACCAAGGCUUGACAUGCACGGCGGCACUGCAGAGAUGUGGUGGCAUUUAGUUGGUCGUGUGCAGGUGGUGCAUGGUUGUCGUCAGCUCGUGUCGUGAGAUGUUGGGUUAAGUCCCGCAACGAGCGCAACCCUUGCCCUAUGUUGCCAGCACGUGAUGGUGGGGACUCGUGGGGGACUGCCGGGGUUAACUCGGAGGAAGGUGGGGAUGACGUCAAAUCAUCAUGCCCCUUAUGUCUUGGGCUUCACGCAUGCUACAAUGGCUGGUACAGAGGGUUGCGAUACUGUGAGGUGGAGCGAAUCCCUUAAAGCCAGUCUCAGUUCGGAUUGGGGUCUGCAACUCGACCCCAUGAAGGUGGAGUCGCUAGUAAUCGCAGAUCAGCAACGCUGCGGUGAAUACGUUCUCGGGCCU